CCAAGAAAUCCGUCAGCAGUCUUGAAACCAAGAGCCAGUUAAUGUCGACAGGCGGAAUUGCUGAACCUAGAAAUCCGCAAUUCGGCAUUAAUAUGGGUGCAUUCAACAAUAAAAAGAAACAGGGCGCCUUCUCUUGGUUGAAUGCAGCUGGAACUCCGGGAAUAUCAGGUACUGAUGGGGUAAAUGGAGUUGAUGGGAAAAACGGAAAGGAUGGCAAAGAUGGAGCAAUAGGGCCUGUUGGACCGCCAGCCCGCCAGGAACAAAAG